CACGUCUCUCACUCUUAGUCUCUCUCAGUCACUACUCGCUACUCACAUCUCCGAUCUUACUCUCUUUACAUCUCUCAGUCAUGAAAAAUUGUUCUUACUAACAAGAUCGAACUUGUGCCAAAAAUUCGACUUAGAGUCUAUUCGCUACUCACAUCUCCAAUCGAAAAUUGAAGGUCAAAAAAUUUCAGAUCAAAGCACAAAAACGAUCCCUAAACUAUGAAGAAAUUGCGGCAAAAGCAUAUAAGAAGGACAAAAAAAAGUGAUUCUAAGAAAAGGGGAUCCAAUAGUCCGGCAAGUAAAGCUCCCGCCAAGAGAAGAAGAAUUGUUAAAGCAAAUUUCAGAUAUGAGCUUCCCAAGGUUCAGGUACUCAGCCGC